rnacentral:rRNA from 1 species
UCCUAGCCGUAAACGAUGGGCACUAGGUUGGGGGAACUCCUAUGGUUUUCCCAGCUGUAGCAAAUGUGUUAAGUGCCCCGCCUGGGGAGUACGCACGCAAGUGUAAAACUCAAAGGAAUUGACGGGGGCUCACACAAGCGGUGGAGCAUGUGGUUUAAUUCGAAGCAACGCGAAGAACCUUACCCGGUCUUGACAUCUAUGGAUUAGCUCUGUGAAAGCAGAGUGACAGCUCU